rnacentral:tRNA from 1 species
ACUAAGUAGCUAAAAAGGUCAAAGCAUUAGCCUUUUAAACUAAUAAUGAUGUCUACCAAACAUCCUUAGUA